rnacentral:rRNA from 1 species
GAUGAACGCUGGCGGCGUGCUUAACACAUGCAAGUCGAACGGAAAGGCCCAAGCUUGCUUGGGUGCUCGAGUGGCGAACGGGUGAGUAACACGUGGGUGAUCUGCCCUGCACUUCGGUAUAAGCCUGGGAAACUGGGUCUAAUACCGGAUAGGACCACUUCUUGGAUGUUGUGGUGGAAAGUUUUUUCGGUGUGGGAUGAGCUCGCGGCCUUUCAGCUUGUUGGUGGGGUAAUGGCCUACCAAGGCGUCGACGGGUAGCCGGCCUGAGAGGGUGUACGGCCAAAUUGGGACUGAGAUACGGCCCAGACUCCUACGGGAGGCAGCAGUGGGGAAUAUUGCACAAUGGGCGCAAGCCUGAUGCAGCGACGCCGCGUGGGGGAUGACGGCCUUCGGGUUGUAAACUCCUGUCGCUAGGGACGAAGCGUUUUGUGACGGUACCUGGAGAAGAAGCACCGGCUAACUACGUG